AGCGAACGCUGGCGGCAGGCUUAACACAUGCAAGUCGAGCGGAUGAGUGGAGCUUGCUCCAUGAUUCAGCGGCGGACGGGUGAGUAAUGCCUAGGAAUCUGCCUGGUAGUGGGGGACAACGUUUCGAAAGGAACGCUAAUACCGCAUACGUCCUACGGGAGAAAGUGGGGGAUCUUCGGACCUCACGCUAUCAGAUGAGCCUAGGUCGGAUUAGCUAGUUGGUGAGGUAAAGGCUCACCAAGGCGACGAUCCGUAACUGGUCUGAGAGGAUGAUCAGUCACACUGGAACUGAGAAACGGUCCAGACUCCUACGGGAGGCAGCGGUGGGGAAUAUUGGACAAUGGGCGAAAGCCUGAUCCAGCCAUGCCGCGUGUGUGAAGAAGGUCUUCGGAUUGUAAAGCACUUUAAGUUGGGAGGAAGGGCAGUAAGUUAAUACCUUGCUGUUUUGACGUUACCAACAGAAUAAGCACCGGCUAACUUCGUGCCAGCCGCCGCCGUAAUAC
rnacentral:rRNA from 1 species